rnacentral:rRNA from 1 species
CAUGCCUAACACAUGCAAGUCGAACGGAACUUCUUUAAUUGAUUUCUUCGGAAUGAUUUUGAUUAAGUUUAGUGGCGGACGGGUGAGUAACGCGUGAGUAACCUGCCUCUGAGAGGGGAAUAACAUUCUGAAAAGAAUGCUAAUACCGCAUAACGUAUAAUUAUCGCAUGGUAGAUAUAUCAAAGAUUUAUCGCUCAGAGAUGGACUCGCGUCCGAUUAGUUAGUUGGUGAGGUAACGGCUCACCAAGACCGCGAUCGGUAGCCGGACUGAGAGGUUGAACGGCCACAUUGGGACUGAGACACGGCCCAGACUCCUACGGGAGGCAGCAGUGGGGGAUAUUGCGCAAUGGGGGAAACCCUGACGCAGCAACGCCGCGUGAAGGAUGAAGGUCUUCGGAAUGUAAACUUCUUUUAUUAAGGACGAAGAAAGUGACGGUACUUAAUGAAUAAGCUCCGGCUAACUACGUGCCAGCCGCCGCCGUAA